rnacentral:rRNA from 1 species
UCUCAAGAAACUUGUAGAAAUGCAUUUUAAUAAUUGGGGGGGCGUGAAAACCCUAUCCGUUUGUAUACGCACUCGGAAGGGCUGAGAUGAAUAUUAAAUAAUCAGACAUAGUACGAUAAGGUUGUAUGUCUAAAGGGAAACAGCCCAGAACAAGAGUUAAUAAGGUUCCAAAAUUAUUGUUAAGUGAAAAUAAGGAAGUAUUUAUCCAAUUCGGCCAGGAAAUAGGCUUAGAAGCGGCCAUUUUUUGAAGACCUCGUAACAGAGCACUGGUUAAGUAAGUAUAACCGUAGUAAUGCGUAGUAUAGAAUAGUAUAUUGAUAAAAGCACCAAAAAUUUAACGGAUCUAAAACAAUAUACCGAGACCUUGUCCAUAAUUAGUAAUAUAUUCAAGUAAUAUAUUAUCUUAUGGGGUAGCAGAACAUAGGGCAAAUCUAAGACUUUUUCUUAUUAAGAUAAAAAAUAAGAUAGCCCUAGAGAUAAUGCUGACAUGAGUAACGAUAAAGGGAAUGAUUCCCUCGCCUAAAGCUUAUGGUAUUUCUUUAAAGUAACGGCCUCUAAGUUUAUAUAUGCUAUAAAAAAUACAUCCGCGAUUAACGUUGGGAAUAAACUAAAUAGAUGAUGCGAUUAGUAUUUGUAACAUACUAACAUAUGUUACAAGUGCAGNUUUCGGAUUAAUAGGAUAUCCCCUAAGGGAUUAAACGAUGAGAAAACCUAGUAGAGUUUAGAGGUAAAUAACCCUUUGUNCCCGAAAAAGAUUUACCUUAAUCACUAGUAAUGAGGGGUGGGUUAUAUUGUGUGAAUGUGACNNAGUGNUNUGGAAAAACNUUNAACUCNAGAGGUNGAACNAAAAAAAGNUUUUUUUUUGUUGUCUUGAGGUAAAACACUUUUAUUUUGAGUACCAACGGAAUGAACCGUACCUAGAAACUACCACCAGUAAGUUAGUAGAG